GCCUCCAUGGCGUAGUGGUGACACGUCUGGAGUCUCUGCGCCGCAGAGAGGUCGGUUCGAAACCGGCUGGAGGCA
rnacentral:tRNA from 1 species